CCUACGGGCGGCAGCAGUGGGGAAUAUUGGGCAAUGGGCGCAAGCCUGACCCAGCAACGCCGCGUGAAGGAAGAAGGCCCUCGGGUUGUAAACUUCUUUUGUCAGGGACGCAACAACUGACGGUACCUGACGAAUAAGCCUCGGGUAACUACGUGCCAGCAGCCGCGGUAAUACGGAGGUGGCAAGCGUUAUCCGGAUUUACUGGGUGUAAAGGGCGUGUAGGCGGGAGAGCAAGUCAGAUGUGAAAUUCCAGGGCUCAACCCUGGAACUGCAUUUGAAACUGUUUUUCUUGAGUGAUGGAGAGGCAGGCGGAAUGCCGUGUGUAGCGGUGAAAUGCGUAGAUAUAGGGAGGAACACCAGUGGCGAAGGCGGCCUGCUGGACAUUAACUGACGCUGAGGCGCGAAAGCGUGGGGAGCAAACAGGAUUAGAUACCCCUGUAGUC
rnacentral:rRNA from 1 species